rnacentral:rRNA from 1 species
GAUGAACGCUGGCGGCGUGCCUAACACAUGCAAGUCGAACGGAAAGACGAUGAGCUUGUGCCUUUCACGUUAGCGGAGGGCGGGUGAGUAACGCGUGGAUCACCUACUUAUAUUUCGGGGAUCAUUACGUAAAACCGGAUAUAAUACCAGAGCAUAUAUUGAACCGCAUGGUGCAAUGGAGAAUGACGGCUUUGCUGGCUGUAAUAGAUGGUUUCGCGCUGGAUUAGCUAGUUGGUAAGGUAACGGCCUACCAAGGCGACGAUGCGUAGCCGAUCUGAGAGGGUGAUCGGCCACACUGGAACUGAGACACGGUCCAGACUCCUACGGGAGGCAGCAGUGGGGAAUCUUAGGCAAUGGGCGCAAGCCUGACGCAGCAACGCCGCGUGAGUGAAGAAGGCCUUCGGGUCGUAAAGCCCUGUUGUUGGGGAAGAACAGCUGUAGGUUAAGACCUAGCUGUCUUGACGGUACCUAAUCAAUAAGCACCGGCUAACUACGUG